rfam:Loxodonta africana unplaced genomic scaffold scaffold_44, whole genome shotgun sequence.
GCAGUGUUGGUUCAGUGGUAAAUUUCUUACCUUCCAUGUAGGAGACCCAGGUUCAAUUCCUGGCCAAUGCA